GCAUGAUAGGUCAUAGUGUUUGUUUUAUUCAAAUUAAUUGAAGCGUGUUGCUCUUGUGUGUGUGCAUAUAUACAUGUAUAUGCAUAGAAGCAUGUGGCUUUACCCAUAGCUUGCUUCCAGCAUUUCUGGCAUUUGCUUCCUUCCAGCAUAGGCUGGCAUUUACUUCCUUGUUUAGAAACCAAACUUUCACUGUGAUAGAUACAAGGCCGUGUGCGUACACAAAUAUUCUUUGCAAAAUUACCCACGACUUCUCUUUGAAGACCGGCAAUCCCAGCUCUGUCUCUAUUCAUCGCUGAACAAGGACUGUUUUGAGCAGUAAUCAUCAUAUUUCUUACAACAAUUGGAAUUUGCAGCUUGCAGAAUGAGUACAUUUUGUCCAGGUGAUUAUGAAUGGAGAAAGCAAAGCAGUGGGGAUCUACAGAGCCGACUGAAAACAAGGAAGUUACUGGGAGUAGGAGAAUGUGAGGAUGGCUCAGUACCAGUCUCUAAGAUCAGUCAGAUCCUGGGCAGCGAUGAUCAUUACUUGAUGACCUUGCCAAACGGACUCCGAUUAUGGCAGGUUGCAACAGCUUUAGUCUUCACUGCUGUAGCAUUGUUGGCUAUGAUUUUCCCUGUUGCGUUAUUCGAUGCCAUAUUUGCCUCCAACUGCAGUGCUGAUGCCAUCUUACCCAUUCGUCUCUUUGGAGCAGCUCUUACAUGUCUGGGGUUGUUGUUUUGGAGUGCUGUCAAGUCAGUCAGUAGAUACAUCAUCAGAUGGACAUUGCUUUCACAAGUCUUGUAUCUGUCCAUCCAAGUUGCAGAAAAGAUAAAGCCUACUACUAUGGACGGAGCAAAAAAAAAGCCAUUACGAUUUUCGGCCAAUGACGACAUAAUCUUGUUGCGAGAGGUUGCGAGAGGUCAUGGCUAAUGAUCCAUACUCCUCUGCUGAACCUGGAAAGCAAUGGGAUGAAAUUGCAGACGCAACAGAACUCCAGGGUCUGAGUGGGCGACGCUGCAGGGAAAGAACAUCCCUUUUAUUGACCUACUACAAGAAAGAAGAUGCAGAGGCGCUGAAGAGCCGAUGAAAGCCAGAUUAGUGACUCUGAUUCUGACAACAAUGUCACACCCCAGAAAGCAAGGAGAUCUUCGUCGUCCUCAGAUCUGAUGAUG
rnacentral:misc_RNA from 1 species